rnacentral:lncRNA from 1 species
AUGUGCAUAGAUAGUAUAUGUCUGUUUACAUGUGACUAUUGAGUGAAUUAAUGUUUUUUAAAAACUAGAUAUACUUUUCUUUUUUAAAAAAUAUAUCAAGGCUAGACACAGUGGCUCACACCCGUAAUCCCAGCAUUUUGGGAGGCCGACACAGGCAGAUCACCUGAGGUCAGAAGUUCGAAACCAGCCUGGCCAACAUGGCAAAAUCCUGUCUCUACUAAAAAUACAUAAAUUAGCUGGGCGUGGUGGCGGCUGCCUAUAAUCCCAGCUGCUUGGGAGGCUGAGGCAGGAGAAUCACUUGCAUCUGGAAGGUGGAAGUUGCAGUGAGCCGAGCCGUCAUUGUACUCCAGCCUGGGCGACAGGAGUGAAACUCCGUCUCAAAAAAAAAAGAAAAGAAAAAAAUCCAGUCCAACAGUUAAAAAAAUAAAACAUUUAUCAAACACAGUGCCAAGUGUUGCAAAUAUAGCAUACACAAACAUGGUUUGCCUUUGAAGAACUUACACCCCAUAGGGGAGAUGUUUCCUUUAUAAAAUGCCAUUUACAGAGCAAUACUGAGCUAUUGUAAGCCCCAGAUGUCACUACAAACAGGGACUGCUAUUGUAAAAUCAUGUCAAAAUCGAUUUACCUGGCUUAUCAGAAAAAGGCUAAAUAUUCUUUCAUCUUUAAUUCAUUCUCUUGUAAGGGGUUCCAAAGAGAUUUUUUUUUCAACUUUUAUUUUAGCUUCUGGGGGUACAUGUGCAGGUUUGUUACAUGAGUAAAUUGCAUGUCACUGAGUGUUGGUGUAUGAAUGAUCCCAUUGCCCAAGUAGUGAGGAGACUACCUAAUAGGUAGUUUUCCAACCUUCCCUCCUCUAGUAGUAUGCACUGUCUAUCGUUGCCAUCUUUAUGUCCAUAUGUAUUCAAUGUGUGUAGCUCCCACUUAUAAGUGAGGAUACCUGGUAUUUGGUUUUCCAUUCCUGCUUAAAUUUGCUUAGGACAGUGGCCUUCAGCUGCAUCCACAUUGCUGCAAAUGACAUAAUUUCAUUCCUUUUAAUGGCUGUGUAGUAUUCCAUAGUGUACAUGCACCAAUUUUCUUUAUCCCGUCUAUCAUUGAUGGUCAUCCAGGUGGGUUCCAUACCUUUGCUAUUGUGAACAGUGCUGUGAUGAAUAUAUGAGUGCAUGUGUCUUUUUUGUAGAAUGAUUUAUUUUCCUUUGGAUAUAUACCCAGUAGUGGGAUUGCUGGGUUGAAUGGUAGUUAUAUUUCAAGUUCUUUAAGAAAUCUCCAAACUGUAAGCCAGGCACAGUGACUCACACCUGUAAUCUCAGCACUUUGGGAGGCCGAGGCGAGUGGAUCACCUGAGGUCAGGAGUUCAAAACCAGCCUGGCCAACAUGGUGAAACCCUGUUACUACUAAAAUACAAAAGUUAGCCGGGUGUGGUAGCGCACACCUGUCGUCUCAGCUACUCAGGAGGCUGUGGCAGGAUAGUUGCUUGAACCCAGGAGGCAGAGGUUGCAGUGAACCGAGAUCAUGCCACUGCACUCCAGUCUGGGCAAGAGUAAGACUCUGUCUCAAAAAAAAAAAAAAAAAAAAA